rnacentral:rRNA from 1 species
AUGUUACUAACCACUAAGAGAUGUAUAACUUCAGUUAUCAAUUUUAACAGAGAAUCGCUCCAUUUGCCCAUUUGUCUUACAUCCUCUUUGAUGCUUUCAGGUGGUGAUCAUUCUUUUUAUCAGGAGGUGUACAUCUGCUUGGCCUCUGGCAGUAGCUGCAGUUACCAACAGUCGAGAGUUCUCAUGGCCAAGUCUCAUGAGACGACGAGUAGGAAACCUCCUGGCCUCCGGUUAUUCAAAGGUGCCAAGGCUCUAAGAAAUUACCAGACGCUCGUCUUGGUCCUUACAUUCUUGGCAUACACUUGCUUCCAUAUGACUCGGAAGAUAACAAGCAUUGUCAAGAGUGAGCUUGAUCCCCAGACAAAAGUGGGGUCUGCCUGGGGACGAUUGCACACACGCAACAGUCUCAACAUUGGUUGGUCUCCAUUUAACACCUCUGAUGGUUCCACUUUGCUUGGUGAGAUAGAUGUAGCAUUCCUUGCGGUGUAUUCUCUUGGGAUGUUCUUCGCCGGGCAUCUUGGUGACCGCAUGGACUUGAGGAUUGUUCUAACAAUUGGCAUGAUUGGCACUGCCAUAUUCACUGCACUCUUUGGUGCUGGAUAUUGGCUAAAUAUUCACAACUUCUACUACUUUCUGGUCUUUCAGAUGAUUGCUGGCUUAUUUCAAUCAUCUGGCUGGCCUUCAGUCGUUGCAGUUGUUGGUAACUGGUUUGGGAAGAGCAAGAGGGGAUUGAUUAUGGGUAUAUGGAACGCACAUACUUCUAUUGGAAACAUAUCCGGUUCGCUGCUUGCUGCAUCUCUGCUGAAAUUUGGAUGGGGGUGGUCAUUUGCCAUCCCCAGCAUCAUCAUGGCUCUUGCUGGGUUGGUGGUGUUCUUUUUCUUGCCGGUUAGUCCUGAUGUAAUGGAGAUAGAUAUUGAUGAUGGGGAGGUAAACUCAGACAAGGAUACUGCAAAGGAGCCCCUUUUGGAACCAGGCCAAGAAGUGAAACAUAAGGCAAUAGGAUUCUUGGAGGCAUGGAGGAUUCCUGGAGUUGCACCGUUUGCUCUCUGCCUCUUCUUCUCCAAGUUGGUUGCAUACACCUUCCUGUACUGGCUACCUUUCUACAUCAGCCAUACACCUAUUGGCAACGAGUACCUCUCUGAUGCGAUGGCUGGCAGCUUGUCAACAGUCUUCGAUGUUGGAGGUGUGUUGGGAGGAGUCCUUGCCGGUCACAUCUCUGAUCGCGUAAAUGCACGAGCAAUCACGGCCGCGAGCUUCAUGUACUGUGCCAUACCUGCCCUUUUCUUGUACAGAACAUAUGGAAGCAUGUCGAUGAUGUCGAACAUUUGCCUCAUGUUCAUCACUGGCAUGUUUGUCAAUGGUCCUUAUGCCCUGAUCACAACCGCAGUGUCAGCUGACCUUGGCACUCACAGCUCAUUGAAUGGUAAUUCUCGGGCACUGGCCACUGUGACAGCAAUCAUCGAUGGGACCGGGUCGGUUGGUGCUGCGAUCGGGCCAUUGCUCACAGGAUACAUCUCAACAGAGAGCUGGAGUGCCGUGUUCACGAUGUUGAUGGCAGCAGCACUUCUUGCUGGGCUCCUCUUGACACAUCUUGUCUGUGCUGAGCUAAGAGGAAAGCUGUCUUCCAAUGUGAGCAAGGUUGUCGCCAAUGCACAAACUACCUGCUCAGAUCAAGUAUAG